UGCGUAGGCGGAAUGAUAAGUUAGUGGUGAAAGCCCCCGGCUCAACCGGGGAAUUGCCUCUAAUACUGUCAUUCUUGAGUAUAGUUGAAGUGGGCGGAAUGUAUCAUGUAGCGGUGAAAUGCUUAGAUAUGAUACAGAACACCGAUAGCGUAGGCAGCUUGCUAAACUAUAACUCACGCUCAGGCACGAAAGCGUGGGGAGCAAACAGGAUUAGAUACCCUGGUAGUCC
rnacentral:rRNA from 1 species